rnacentral:rRNA from 1 species
AGAACGACUCUCGGCAACGGAUAUCUCGGCUCUCGCAUCGAUGAAGAACGCAGCGAAAUGCGAUACUUGGUGUGAAUUGCAGGAUCCCGCGAACCAUCGAGUCUUUGAACGCAAGUUGCGCCCGAAGCCUUCUGGCCGAGGGCACGUCUGCCUGGGUGUCACUC